rnacentral:rRNA from 1 species
UACGAAGGGGGCUAGCGUUGCUCGGAUUGACUGGGCGUAAAGGGCGCGUAGGCGGUUCGUACAGUCAGACGUGAAAUUCCUGGGCUCAACCUGGGGGCUGCGUUUGAUACGUGCGGGCUUGAGUUCGGAAGAGGGUCGUGGAAUUCCCAGUGUAGAGGUGAAAUUCGUAGAUAUUGGGAAGAACACCGGUGGCGAAGGCGGCGACCUGGUCCUUGACUGACGCUGAGGCGCGAAAGCGUGGGGAGCAAACAGG